GCUAUCUCCCAUCUACACCAACGAUGUGCAAUGUAUAGCCUACUUCUGCUUCCACUGGGUAGAGCCUGCGUGUGUUUGGAGAAUUUGGUAAUUAUGCACAGCUAAUUAAUUUAUCCUCCCUUUAUUCAUAUGUGGACACAAAUAAAAAGACGUGAAGAGAAAGAGUGAUGGGCGGCAUUGGCUAUCUGAUAAUAGAUUAUUACACAGCAUUUACUUCUCCGAAUUAGAGAGCAGUCACAACAAAAAAGUGAUAGUGUCAUGCCUCAUUCAAUCAUUCCUUAACUUCGGGUGAUGUACAGUCUUUAAUCCCUAAUGCACAUAACUUUAUUUUUUUUCGCAGGCAUUUCUGAUAGGCACAACCCUCUGGUAGCAGAAAGAGAUCGCUAGGCUAGGCUCGUACUCAGAAGUGAAGAGUGCAAAAUAACUGGAAAGAAGGUGACCCAAGCCUUCCUUCUGAUGUUAGCUUCUUAUGACCCGGAGAAGAAAGAAAGCGUGCUUGUCACAAACGCUGUCUCUAGCACAGUGCCUGCCACGUGGUAGACAUGAAUUACCUGCCCGAUGGAUGAAUAUACGGGAAGAGCAAAAGUUCGACACCUGCCAGAUUUGGUUUUAAUUACCGUUAGUGACCCAGACCUGGAAUGCGUAAGUUAUCGUCAAAGGCCAGUAUUCGCAGGGCUGGGCGCUCCCUAGCUGUACUCUGUCUGCCUGUUUGUUGCCCCACUAAGUCACUUGGACAAUAGAAGUGGUGGCCUAGCAAGUGAAAUAGCUUGUGCGAAGGCAGUUUAUACAGCCCCUACUGCUCAGAUACUCAGUGAAGGACAACCUGUCACCUUCCAGACACUCUUGGUUCCAGCUGCUAGCCCACGUGUGUUCGGGCUCCACCUCCUCACCACAUUGUUCUGCCGUCACACUUCAGAUUUGUCCCUCCCUCUCCCCUUUCAGAAGAUGAGCUCCUUGAAGACAAGAACCAAGUCGUACCUUGGUUUCCUCUCUCCUUGGCACAGCGAGUCCUCCCUAUGUGUCUACUGAAGGAAUUAAAACAAGGCUGUGGGGCAUGCUGGCAAAAUCGUAUUUUGAGAUCUUCCUGGUUAAA